GCCGCUGCAGGCCGCCUUCAGGGGCUGCCGGCGAGGCAGUUCUGUCCUCAUUAAAAGUAGGCGCGUCCAAGCCGAGGAGCUUCCCAAAGCUGCGGAUCUCGACCCCCCUCCCACGGCAGGCUGAAACCGACCCUUAGGGACGUCACCAAGGGCAGGCACGCACUGGAAGGCGUCUCUUCUCUGUGCUAGCGUGACUGUGGCGGUUGACACCCUCUGAGGACUCUCGAAGCCCAGCGCGUACACGGGAAUGUGCGCAAACUUCUUAGACGGCAUCUUCAUCUGCAACACAGAGAGACACUCCAGGCACCCUGGUCCCCCCGAGCAGCUGCCAACACACAAGAUGGAGCAUUGCGGUCUGUAUGUAAUCAGCACUUAACACUGACGAGGCGGUCUCUCUACAGCCAAGUGGCAGCAUGAAAAUACCUUAAAGAUGUUGUUCCACUGACAUCUUGCCUGCAAUGUUUUGAUGAGGAACCUGCAGUCAUCUUUCUCUUUCUCUGUACAUAACAUGUCUUUAUUUGCUGACUGACUUUAGGAAUUUCUCUUUAUCACCG